UACGUAGGGGGCAAGCGUUGUCCGGAUUUACUGGGCGUAAAGAGCGCGCAGGCGGUCGUUCAAGUCGCGUGUGAAAGCCCCCGGCUCAACUGGGGAGGGUCACGCGAUACUGAUCGACUCGAAGGCAGGAGAGGGUAGUGGAAUUCCCGGUGUAGUGGUGAAAUGCGCAGAUAUCAGGAGGAACACCGGUGGCGAAGGCGGGUCUCUGGGCCGAUACUGACGCUGAGGAGCGAAAGCGUGGGGAGCGAACAGG
rnacentral:rRNA from 1 species